rnacentral:misc_RNA from 1 species
UGCAACAUUACUUGGUGAUGCUGUAGGCAC